ensembl:lncRNA
CAGCUCUUCCUUUCACUUAUUUUACGUGAUUUUUUUUUACGUGUGAAACACGUGAAGUUGGAUUCGAGCGAACACGAGAAACUGUGUGAAUUAUACGUGGUAAAGGACAAAAAAUAACAAAAGAUUCAGAAAAAUACUCUGCGGUCAUGGAUAUCAAACAAUUGCAAACAAAACACAGGUUUAUCAAAAAAAAAAAAACUUUGUUAAAUAUAGGUGUGCAACAAUUAUUGGCACCCUUUUAGUCAACACUUUGUGCUAGCUCCCUUUGCCAAGAUAACAGCUUGUCCUAUAACGCCUGAGGAGGUUGGAGAAGACAUGGCGAGGGAUCUGAGAGCGUUCCUCCAUACAGAAGCUCUCCAGAUCCUUCACGUUUCCAGGUCCACGCUGACGGACUCUCCUCUUCAGUUCACUCCACAGGGUUUCUAUGGGGUUCGGGUCAGGGGACUGGGAUGGUCAGGGCAGGAGCUUGAUUUUGUGGUCAGUAAACCGUUUUUGUGUUGAUUUUGAUGAUGUUUUGGAUCAUCGUCCUGCUGGAAGAUCCGACCACGGCCCAUUUGAAGCUUGGCAUGAUUUGAAAAAACACAUGCUUCGACACUUCUGAAAAAUUGAAAAUGACAUGAAAAAUAAAGCCACAAGCUUUUAAAAUCACAAAGAACCUGAAGUAAUUAUUGACAUGCUGCAUGAAAAUCAUAAAAUGAAUGAAGCGUGUUAAAAAAGAACAAUCCUCACAUGAAAACGAGUCAAACGUGAAGUGUUUAAAAGUGUUUUCACGUUUAACUUGUGAUUAUUCACGUGAAGUUUGUGCAACUUUUCUUUUCUUUUCUUUUCUUUUCUUCAUUGUAUCCCUCUGUUCUUUCUAGAAUUGGGACUUGAAGACUUGAUUUCAUUGAAUGGACAUUUUACAGUGAGGUUCGUUCAGGACAUGCAUUGUGGACAGACACGGCCCUCGAGCGGCGAGACGCUUGAAAAUACCAGGGAGGACUGUGGCGUAGUACGUUUGGCUCGCACCUCCAGGGUUGGGGUUCGAUUCCUGCCUUCACCCUGUGUGCGUGGAGCUUGCAUGUUCUCCCCGUGCUUCGGGGGUUUCCUCUGGGUACUCCAGUCCAAAGACACGCGCGGACGUCGUGAGUCCUCUUUCGGCUCGUCUCUGUGUGUCUGCAGCAGCUCGACUCACAUCAAAGGGGGCAAUAGAGGAUUGGUCCCGACAAAUGCGCAAGCAGUAAAACUUAACAAGGUGUGAAUGUCCUCUCGUUGCCCUGGCCAGCGACGUACAGAGGGUGCCUGCUUCUGUCCUUAGGCCAUGUGUGUGUGUGUGUGUGUGUGUGUGU